GGUAAGUUCCGACCCGCACGAAAGGCGUAACGAUUUGGGCACUGUCUCAACGAGAGACUCGGUGAAAUCAUAGUACCUGUGAAGAUGCAGGUUACCCGCGACAGGACGGAAAGACCCCGUGGAGCUUUACUGUAGCCUGAUAUUGAAAUUCGGCACAGCUUGUACAGGAUAGGUAGGAGCCUUUGAAACGUGAGCGCUAGCUUACGUGGAGGCGCUGGUGGGAUACUACCCUAGCUGUGUUGGCUUUCUAACCCGCACCACUUAUCGUGGUGGGAGACAGUGUCAGGCGGGCAGUUUGACUGGGGCGGUCGCCUCCUAAAAGGUAACGGAGGCGCUCAAAGGUUCCCUCAGAAUGGUUGGAAAUCAUUCAUAGAGUGUAAAGGCAUAAGGGAGCUUGACUGCGAGACCUACAAGUCGAGCAGGGUCGAAAGACGGACUUAGUGAUCCGGUGGUUCCGCAUGGAAGGGCCAUCGCUCAACGGAUAAAAGCUACC
rnacentral:rRNA from 1 species